rnacentral:rRNA from 1 species
AAAUGAAUUGACGGGGGCCCGCACAAGCGGUGGAGCAUGUGGUUUAAUUCGAUGCAACGCGAAGAACCUUACCUACUCUUGACAUCCAGAGAACUUUCCAGAGAUGGAUUGGUGCCUUCGGGAACUCUGAGACAGGUGCUGCAUGGCUGUCGUCAGCUCGUGUUGUGAAAUGUUGGGUUAAGUCCCGCAACGAGCGCAACCCCUGUCCUUUGUUGCCAGCGGUCCGGCCGGGAACUCAAAGGAGACUGCCAGUGAUAAACUGGAGGAAGGUGGGGAUGACGUCAAGUCAUCAUUGGCCCUUACGACCAGGGCUACACACGUGCUACAAUGGCAUAUACAAAGAGAAGCGACCUCGCGAGAGUAAGCGGACCUCAUAAAGUAUGUCGUAGUCCGGAUUGGAGUCUGCAACUCGACUCCAUGAAGUCGGAAUCGCUAGUAAUCGUGGAUCAGAAUGCCACGGUGAAUACG